AUGCUGCCCUUGUAUAUCUGCUCUGCUAUCUUCACAUUAUUAUAUUUCGCACAUGUGCAGCAACCGACGGCUGCACAGAUCACAGCACCAUGGGAAGUCAAUGCUUUGAGAGCUAUAAGAGGCAGCUUGAGUGAUCCAAAUGGAUUUCUCAACAACUGGAACCGUGGAGAUCCAUGCGUCGCGAAUUGGACCCGUGUUAUCUGUUACAACGUAACAGCAAAAGAUGAUGGUUACUUCCAUGUGCAAGAACUGCAGCUUCUACGGUUGGGUUUAUCCGGGACUUUAGCUCCUGAGCUUGGCCAGCUUUCCCGCAUGAAAAUUAUGGAUUUCAUGUGGAACAAAAUCACUGGGAGCAUUCCUAAGGAGGUCGGCAACAUUACUUCUCUGGAACUAUUGCUCGUAAAUGGGAACCAGCUGUCUGGUUCUUUACCAGAUGAAAUUGGCCUCCUUCCUAAUCUUAACAGGAUUCAGAUUGAUCAGAACAAUAUAUCCGGACCCAUACCUAAAUCAUUCGCUAACCUGAACAAGACCAAGCACUUUCACAUGAACAACAAUUCAUUGAGUGGUCAGAUUCCACCUGAAUUGUCAAGGUUACCUUCACUUGUUCACAUGUUGUUGGAUAACAAUAACCUAUCGGGCUAUCUCCCUCCAGAAUUAGCGCAGCUACCGAAACUGCUCAUCAUCCAGCUAGACAAUAACAACUUCUCGGGAAGCUCGAUUCCUCCAUCUUAUGGCAAUAUCACCACACUUCUGAAAUUGAGUUUGAGGAACUGCAGCUUGGAAGGCCCUGCUCCUGAUGUCAGUGGAAUACCGCAGCUUGGCUACUUGGAUGUUAGUUGGAAUCAGUUGACGGGUCCCAUACCAUCCGGCCAACUAGCAAGCAACAUAACUACAAUGUAUACAACAAAUAAAGCUUGUGCCAUGAAUUCAAAAAAUGUAUACAACAAAUAA
rnacentral:rRNA from 1 species